rnacentral:rRNA from 1 species
CCUACGGGAGGCAGCAGUGGGGAAUAUUGGGCUAUGGGCGAAAGCCUGACCCAGCAACGCCGCGUGAAGGAAGAAGGCUCUCGGGUUGUAAACUUCCUUUGAUAGGGAAGAGCAGAAGACGGUACCUGUCGAAUAAUCUACGGCGAACUACGUGUCAGCAGCCGCGGUAAUACGUAGGUGGCAAGCGUUGUCCGGAUUUACUGGGUGUAAAGGGCGUGUAGCCGGGCUGACAAGUCAGAUGUGAAAGCCGGGGGCUCAACCACCGAAGUGCAUUUGAAACUGGUGGUCUUGAGUAUCGGAGAGGCAGGCGGAAUUCCUGGUGUAGCGGUGAAAUGCGUAGAUAUUAGGAAGAACACCAGUGGCGAAGGCGGCCUGCUGGACGACAACUGACGGUGAGGCGCGAAAGCGUGGGGAGCAAACAGGAUUAGAUACCCCUGUAGUC